CCUACGGGGGGCUGCAGUGGGGAAUAUUGGACAAUGGGGGCAACCCUGAUCCAGCCAUGCCGCGUGUGUGAAGAAGGCCCUCGGGUUGUAAAGCACUUUCAGUGAGGAAGAACGCCUGGUGGUUAAUACCCAUCAGGAAAGACAUCACUCACAGAAGAAGCACCGGCUAACUCCGUGCCAGCAGCCGCGGUAAUACGGAGGGUGCGAGCGUUAAUCGGAAUUACUGGGCGUAAAGCGCGCGUAGGUGGCUUGAUAAGCCGGUUGUGAAAGCCCCGGGCUCAACCUGGGAACGGCAACCGGAACUGUCAAGCUAGAGUGCAGGAGAGGAAGGUAGAAUUCCCGGUGUAGCGGUGAAAUGCGUAGAGAUCGGGAGGAAUACCAGUGGCGAAGGCGGCCUUCUGGACUGACACUGACACUGAGGUGCGAAAGCGUGGGUAGCAAACAGGAUUAGAUACCCCAGUAGUC
rnacentral:rRNA from 1 species